rnacentral:rRNA from 1 species
AUCAACUUUCGAUGGUAGGAUAGAGGCCUACCAUGGUGGUAACGGGUAACGGGGUGUUAGGGCACGACACCGGAGAGGGAGCCUGAGAAACGGCUACCACAUCCAAGGAUGGCAGCAGGCGCGCAAAUUACCCAAUCCCGACACGGGGAGGUAGUGACAAUAAAUAACAAUACGGGGUUCUUUAGGAUCUCGUAAUUGGAAUGAGUACAAUUUAAAUCUCUUAACGAGGAACAAUUGGAGGGCAAGUCUGGUGCCAGCAGCCGCGGUAAUUCCAGCUCCAAUAGCGUAUAUUAAAGUUGUUGCAGUUAAAAAGCUCGUAGUUGAAUUUCGGGGUUAGUAGGUUGGUCAUGCCUCUGGUAUGUACUGGUCUCACUGAUUCCUCCUUCCUGAUGAACCUUAAUGCCAUUAAUUUGGUGUUUUGGGGAAUUUGGACUGUUACUUUGAAAAAAUUAGAGUGUUUAAAGCAAGCUAACGCUUGAAUACAUUAGCAUGGAAUAAUGAAAUAGGACGUUCGAUCCUAUUUUGUUGGUUUCUAGGAUUGACGUAAUGAUUAAUAGGGAUAGUUGGGGGCAUUAGUAUUCAAUUGUCAGAGGUGAAAUUCUUGGAUUUAUUGAAGACUAACUACUGCGAAAGCAUUUGCCAAGGAUGUUUUCAUUAAUCAAGAACGAAAGUUAGGGGAUCGAAGACGAUCAGAUACCGUCGUAGUCUUAACCAUAAACUAUGCCGACUAGGGAUCGGAUGAUGUUAAUUUUUUAAUGACUCAUUCGGCGCCUUACGGGAAACCAAAGUGUUUGGGUUC